UGUACAGGGACAUGCCCAAAUUCGGGCUUGUCCCUGUACAUGGACAUGGUCAAAUAUGGCCCUGUCCAUAUACAGGGACAAGCCCGAAUUCGGGCAUGUCCCUGUACAUGG
rnacentral:pre_miRNA from 1 species